UCCCGACUCGGGAUCCCACCUGUCCGUAACUGAACCAAAGUGGGGGAUAACAGAUUUCAUGGGAGCCUGUCACUUCCCACCUGACCUAAUCUCUCUCUCUCUCUCUCUCUCUCUCUCUCUCUCUCUCUGUGCUACACUUGGAGUUGGUGCUCUCCGUAUCCCUCCCGUUUCCUAAACAACCACUGAAACCCUAACCAGUACCUAAUAUCCGGCAAUUUUUCACCGCAUGUCUCAACUACCGGAGGAAGUCAUCGCCGACAUACUCUCCCGAUUACCCGUAAAACCCCUCGGCCAAUUCAAGCUAGUGUCCAUACCCUGGCGCUCCCUGAUCGAAAGCCCUACUUUCGUCAAACUCCACCUCAACCGCUCGAUCGACACCAAAUCCAACCAAGCCCUAAUCUUACGAGAGGAGCAGCUCUACUCGGUCGAAUUCGAUUCGCUCGACGGGCCCUUCGCGGACGCCGCGAAGCUCGACCACCACCCGCUGAGGUGCCAGGACUACGGGACCGAGGUAUGGGGCUCUUGCAAUGGCAUAGUGUGCUUGUCUAAUUCGUUAGAUACCGUCGUUUUAUGGAACCCUUCCACUCGAAGAUCGCGUAGGUUGCCUUACGCGCCGAUAGAGUUCCCGAACCAGCCGAGGUAUUUCGUGAGUAGGGUUUACGGGUUCGGGUACGAUGGUGUGAGUGAUGACUAUAAGCUUGUUAGGAUUGUGGUGCUCAAGGGUAGGGAGGAUGAUUCUUUGCACUAUGAGGUUAAGGUUUAUAGUUUGAGGUCGAAUUUGUGGCAUAGGGUUGAGGAGAAAUUCCCACACUACCCUGAUUUGAAUAGAGUGGGGGGUGUGUUAGCUAGUGGCAAUUUGCACUGGAUUGUGAAUGAAGAGACCGAGCGGGGUAAGACGAACUUGAUUGUUUCUUUUGAUCUAGGGUGUGAGGAGUAUGGGUUGGUGCCACAACCCGAGUUUACGCAUCCGAGAUUCUAUGCGGAUGUGGAGGUUUUGGGAGGAUGCCUUUCAUUGAUUUGCAAUUAUUACUUGACCCAUAUUGAUAUAUGGGUGAUGAAAGAGUAUGGUGUGAAGGAAUCUUGGACAAAGUUGAUUUCCAUGGCGCAACCGGGUACAUUGAGGUCUUUUCAGAAUGUGAGACCCAUUGGCUAUUCAAAGAGCGGCGGGCAAUUAUUGUUACAACAUGGCCCUCUGAAGCUCCUUUGGUAUGACCUUAAAAGGAAGACAUGCAAGAGUGUUAAAAUCCGUGAUGUACACGAUUUGUCGCAAGUAGUGAUGUGCGUGGGAAGCCUUGUUUCGCUCAAAAGUGGUAGAGGUGAACGUGAACGAAAGAAGAAGCAAGAACAAGAAGAGAAGAAUAUGGGUGGUUUCCUGUCAACGGGGUUCAAACUGGUGCUAUAAGCUACUGGAAGAAGAAGCAGAGUAGCUAUAUGGCAGAGAGGUAGAUAACUUGGAAGCUUUUCAUGAUAGUUUCCUUGCUUGGCUGUAUAUAUUUCAACACUGGCUCUAGGUUUCCCAAGUGAAGUUUGGUUUUGAAGUUUGCAAUGCACCUGGCAAAAGCUGCUCGCGAAGGAGGAUUGCAUCUCUUUCUGCACAGAAGCUCUGGCUUUGCGAGAAGCUGUGACCGGCUGGAGGGGCCUCAAUACAGUUGUUGUUUGUUUAGUGCAACUAUUAUUAGGUUAAUAAACUCACUAACUGGCUUGACAUCUUAUUUGAAUAAGUGCCUGGAUUAGCAAGUAGCUGAAGCACUGAUCUUGAAAAGCAGGCCCUGGAAUGUAGACUCAGCGUUGUGUUGUAUGUGGCCUGUGUUGUAAUAAAGUUCUUGUUUUAGGAAAGCAGAAAAGAUAGUUUGUUUGCACGGGGCCCCUUUGUGUACUGACUACUGAGGUCCUUAACUGUAUACUGUCUUGUAGUAGUAAUGAGAAAGGACCGGAGUGAUUAUUCAGUGCUCGUGGAGCACCGCCA